AUGAAUUUGGAGCAUGAGGUGGAGUUUGAUCACUCAUUAUCAUAUCAACAGGGAGUACGUGCCCCACUAUGCUCAGAGGAUGCCAUAUUGUCAACUCAGUUUGUCAUGCAGAUCAUGAUGUACUGUCAGAAAGUAGUCAUAUGUCCUCAGAUGCUGCGGGCCACAAGGGGUGAUGACACCGGAGGUAGGGCAACACGCCGAGUCGAGGACGUCCACCGGGUGGAGGACGUCGCGGCUAACAGGGGCGACGGCGGUGUGGCGACGACGGCGGGGCGAGGAGAGGUAGGGCAACAAGGUGGGUUGAGGAAGGACGUGCACCGGGGUGGAGGACAUCGCGGCUACCAGGGGCUAGGCCGGCGUGGCGACGGCGGCGGGGCGAGGAGAGGUAGGGCAGCAAGGCGGGUCAAGGAUGUCCACCGGGCCGAGGACGUCGCAGACACCAGCGCUGAUCGCGGCUGUUUGUGGCGUGGUGGCGGCGUAGAUCGUGGAGGUGUUGUUUAA
rnacentral:rRNA from 1 species